CCUACGGGUGGCAGCAGUGGGGAAUAUUGGGCAAUGGACGCAAGUCUGACCCAGCAACGCCGCGUGAAAGAAGAAGGCUUUCGGGUUGUAAACUUCUUUUAAGGGGGAAGAGCAGAAGACGGUACCCCUUGAAUAAGCCACGGCUAACUUCGUGCCAGCCGCCGCGGUAAUACGUAGGUGGCCGGCGUUGUUCGGAUUUACUGGGUGUAAAGGGCGGGCAGCCGGAGAGACAAGUCAGAUGUGAAAUCCCCGGGCUUAACCCGUGAACUGCAUUUGAAACUGUUUCCCUUGAGUGUCGGAGAGGUAAUCGGAAUUCCUAGUGUAGCGGUGAAAUGCGUAGAUAUUAGGAAGAACACCAGUGGCGAAGGCGGAUUACUGGACGAUAACUGACGGUGAGGCGCGAAAGCGUGGGGAGCAAACAGGAUUAGAUACCCUUGUAGUC
rnacentral:rRNA from 1 species